UACACUCCUGCGGGAGGCAGCAGUGGGGAAUAUUGGACAAUGGGCGCAAGCCUGAUCCAGCCAUGCCGCGUGAGUGAUGAAGGCCCUAGGGUUGUAAAGCUCUUUCACCGGAGAAGAUAAUGACGGUAUCCGGAGAAGAAGCCCCGGCUAACUUCGUGCCAGCAGCCGCGGUAAUACGAAGGGGGCUAGCGUUGUUCGGAAUUACUGGGCGUAAAGCGCACGUAGGCGGAUCGAUCAGUCAGGGGUGAAAUCCCAGGGCUCAACCCUGGAACUGCCUUUGAUACUGUCGAUCUGGAGUAUGGAAGAGGUGAGUGGAAUUCCGAGUGUAGAGGUGAAAUUCGUAGAUAUUCGGAGGAACACCAGUGGCGAAGGCGGCUCACUGGUCCAUUACUGACGCUGAGGUGCGAAAGCGUGGGGAGCAAACAGGAUUAGAAACCCGGGUAGUCCCAUG
rnacentral:rRNA from 1 species